rnacentral:rRNA from 1 species
GACGAACGCUGGCGGCGUGCUUAACACAUGCCAGUCGAACGGAAAGGCCCUGCUUUUGUGGGGUGCUCGAGUGGCGAACGGGUGAGUAACACGUGAGUAACCUGCCCUUGACUUCGGGAUAACUCCAGGAAACUGGGGCUAAUACCGGAUAGGAGCUCCUGCUGCACGUUGUGGGUUGGAAAGUUUCGGCGGUUGGGGCUGGACUCGCGGGUUAUCCGCUUGUUUGUGGGGUAGUGGCUUACCAAGGCUUUGACGGGUAGCCGGCCUGGGAGGGUUACCGGCCACAUUGGGACUGCGAUACGGCCCAGAAUCCUACGGGAGGCAGCAGUGGGAAAUAUUGCACAAUGGGCGGAAGCCUGAUGCAGCAACGCCGCGUGCGGGAUGACGGCCUUCGGGUUGUAAACCGCUUUCGACUGUGACGAAGCGUGAGUGACGGUAAUGGGUAAAGAAGCACCGGCUAACUACGUG